GAUUCGUCACACUAUCAUUAACUGAAUCCAUAGGUUAAUGAGGCGAACCGGGGGAACUGAAACAUCUAAGUACCCCGAGGAAAAGAAAUCAACCGAGAUUCCCCCAGUAGCGGCGAGCGAACGGGGAGGAGCCCAGAGCCUGAAUCAGCAUGUGUGUUAGUGGAAGCGUCUGGAAAGGCGCGCGAUACAGGGUGACAGCCCCGUACACAAAAGCGCAUGUGCUGUGAGCUCGAUGAGUAGGGCGGGACACGUGGUAUCCUGUCUGAAUAUGGGGGGACCAUCCUCCAAGGCUAAAUACUCCUGACUGACCGAUAGUGAACCAGUACCGUGAGGGAAAGGCGAAAAGAACCCCGGCGAGGGGAGUGAAAAAGAACCUGAAACCGUGUACGUACAAGCAGUGGGAGCACCCUUCGGGGUGUGACUGCGUACCUUUUGUAUAAUGGGUCAGCGACUUAUAUUCUGUAGCAAGGUUAACCGUAUAGGGGAGCCGGAGGGAAACCGAGUCUUAAUUGGGCGUUAAGUUGCAGGGUAUAGACCCGAAACCCGGUGAUCUAGCCAUGGGCAGGUUGAAGGUUGGGUAACACUAACUGGAGGACCGAACCGACUAAUGUUGAAAAAUUAGCGGAUGACCUGUGGCUGGGGGUGAAAGGCCAAUCAAACCGGGAGAUAGCUGGUUCUCCCCGAAAGCUAUUUAGGUAGCGCCUCGUGAAUUCAUCUCCGGGGGUAGAGCACUGUUUCGGCUAGGGGGCCAUCCCGGCUUACCAACCCGAUGCAAACUGCGAAUACCGGAGAAUGUUAUCACGGGAGACACACGGCGGGUGCUAACGUCCGUCGUGAAGAGGGAAACAACCCAGACCGCCAGCUAAGGUCCCAAAGUCAUGGUUAAGUGGGAAACGAUGUGGGAAGGCCCAGACAGCCAGGAUGUUGGCUUAGAAGCAGCCAUCAUUUAAAGAAAGCGUAAUAGCUCACUGGUCGAGUCGGCCUGCGCGGAAGAUGUAACGGGGCUAAACCAUGCACCGAAGCUGCGGCAGCGAACGUAUCACCCAAGACAACUUUACGGAGUUGACGAUUGACGGAGCGAAGCGACGUCAAAGCGUUCAUUAAAGUCGAGUUGGCUUAGGGAUACGUUCGUUGGGUAGGGGAGCGUUCUGUAAGCCUGUGAAGGUGUGUCGUGAGGCAUGCUGGAGGUAUCAGAAGUGCGAAUGCUGACAUAAGUAACGAUAAAGCGGGUGAAAAGCCCGCUCGCCGGAAGACCAAGGGUUCCUGUCCAACGUUAAUCGGGGCAGGGUGAGUCGACCCCUAAGGCGAGGCCGAAAGGCGUAGUCGAUGGGAAACGGGUUAAUAUUCCCGUACUUGGUGUUACUGCGAAGGGGGGACGGAGAAGGCUAUGUUGGCCGGGCGACGGUUGUCCCGGUUUAAGCGUGUAGGUGUGUGUUCCAGGUAAAUCCGGUUCACUUUAACACUGAGGCGUGACGACGAGGCACUACGGUGCUGAAGCAACAAAUGCCCUGCUUCCAGGAAAAGCCUCUAAGCAUCAGGUAACAUCAAAUCGUACCCCAAACCGACACAGGUGGUCAGGUAGAGAAUACCAAGGCGCUUGAGAGAACUCGGGUGAAGGAACUAGGCAAAAUGGUGCCGUAACUUCGGGAGAAGGCACGCUGACACGUAGGUGAAGUGAUUUACUCAUGGAGCUGAAGUCAGUCGAAGAUACCAGCUGGCUGCAACUGUUUAUUAAAAACACAGCACUGUGCAAACACGAAAGUGGACGUAUACGGUGUGACGCCUGCCCGGUGCCGGAAGGUUAAUUGAUGGGGUCAGCGCAAGCGAAGCUCCUGAUCGAAGCCCCGGUAAACGGCGGCCGUAACUAUAACGGUCCUAAGGUAGCGAAAUUCCUUGUCGGGUAAGUUCCGACCUGCACGAAUGGCGUAAUGAUGGCCAGGCUGUCUCCACCCGAGACUCAGUGAAAUUGAACUCGCUGUGAAGAUGCAGUGUACCCGCGGCAAGACGGAAAGACCCCGUGAACCUUUACUAUAGCUUGACACUGAACAUUGAGCCUUGAUGUGUAGGAUAGGUGGGAGGCUUUGAAGUGUGGACGCCAGUCUGCAUGGAGCCGACCUUGAAAUACCACCCUUUAAUGUUUGAUGUUCUAACGUGGACCCGUAAUCCGGGUUGCGGACAGUGUCUGGUGGGUAGUUUGACUGGGGCGGUCUCCUCCUAAAGAGUAACGGAGGAGCACGAAGGUUGGCUAAUCCUGGUCGGACAUCAGGAGGUUAGUGCAAUGGCAUAAGCCAGCUUGACUGCGAGCGUGACGGCGCGAGCAGGUGCGAAAGCAGGUCAUAGUGAUCCGGUGGUUCUGAAUGGAAGGGCCAUCGCUCAACGGAUAAAAGGUACUCCGGGGAUAACAGGCUGAUACCGCCCAAGAGUUCAUAUCGACGGCGGUGUUUGGCACCUCGAUGUCGGCUCAUCACAUCCUGGGGCUGAAGUAGGUCCCAAGGGUAUGGCUGUUCGCCAUUUAAAGUGGUACGCGAGCUGGGUUUAGAACGUCGUGAGACAGUUCGGUCCCUAUCUGCCGUGGGCGCUGGAGAACUGAGGGGGGCUGCUCCUAGUACGAGAGGACCGGAGUGGACGCAUCACUGGUGUUCGGGUUGUCAUGCCAAUGGCACUGCCCGGUAGCUAAAUGCGGAAGAGAUAAGUGCUGAAAGCAUCUAAGCACGAAACUUGCCCCGAGAUGAGUUCUCCCUGAGACUUAGAGUCUCCUGAAGGAACGUUGAAGACGACGACGUUGAUAGGCCGGGUGUGUAAGCGCAGCGAUGCGUUGA
rnacentral:rRNA from 1 species